CUCUCAUCCAAUCAGAACAUGUAGUCCAGGAAACGCAUUUGCAUAACCUCGGUAUAUAAAGCAUGCUGAGGUCGUAUCAGGUCAUUUCAAGCUCUUCUGUGUCUAGAGGAAGAGCUACCCCGUGACCGGCUUAGAGAACUGGAAGAGGCCGCAACCUUUCUCCUGCUUGAAGCUGGAGGAUGGAUGGAGUCUGGAGCCCUGGAGCGUGGGACACUGUUUCGCUGUGGUUGGUGGUGGCGACAGAGCAGUAGGAGAGCGCCCGGCAGCGGGAGCUUCUCCUGCUGGGCUGGAGGACUAGGAGAAGGAAGAGGCACUGCCACAUGCUGGAGGCUGGAACCUGUGCCACCGUGGCUGGCCUGGCUCUGGUUGGUUCGCCUCGCUGUGGUUGGUGGUGACGUCGGAGACUGCAGCUCGGUCACAGUGGUAGAAAUGUGAUGGGGCUAAUCUAAAUGUUGGAACAAUCUCUCUUUAUUGAACAGAAGUUUCUCUUUGUAACCGCCAGUGCUCCUAUUUGGUUUAGUUAAUUCUGGAUUGGAUGCUA
rnacentral:lncRNA from 10 species